rnacentral:rRNA from 1 species
AUUGAACGCUAGCGGCAUGCUUUACACAUGCAAGUCGAACGAGUGGCGGACGGGUGAGUAAUAUAUCGGCACGUGCCCAGUAGCGGGGGAUAACUACUCGAAAGAGUGGCCAAUACCGCAUAAUACUAGAGCGGCCCUAAUUGGAUGAGCUAGUUGGUGGGGUAAAGGCUCACCAAGGAAACGAUCCGUAGCUGGUUUGAGAGGACGACCAGCCACACUGGGACUGAGACACGGCCCAGACUCCUACGGGAGGCAGCAGUGGGGAAUUUUGGACAAUGGGGGAAACCCUGAUCCAGCCAUCCCGCGUGUAUGAGAAGGCCUUCGGGUUGUAAAGUACUUUUGGCAGAGAAGCGGUAUCUGCAGAAUAAGCACCGGCUAACUACGUGCCAGCCGCCGCGGUAAUUC